CCUACGGGAGGCAGCAGUAGGGAAUCUUUCACAAUGGGCGAAAGCCUGAUGGAGCAACGCCGCGUGCAGGAUGAAGGCCUUCGGGUUGUAAACUGCUUUUAUAAGCGAGAAAUAUGAUGGUAACUUAUGAAUAAGGAUCGGCUAACUACGUGCCAGCAGCCGCGGUCAUACGUAGGAUCCGAGCAUUAUCCGGAGUGACUGGGUGUAAAGAGUUGCGUAGGUGGCAUAAUAAGUAGCUAGUGAAAUCUGGUGGCUCAACCAUUCAGACUAUUAGCUAAACUGUUAAGCUCGAGACCGUUAGGGGUAACUGGAAUUUCUAGUGUAGGAGUGAAAUCCGUAGAUAUUAGAAGGAACACCAAUAGCGUAGGCAGGUUGCUGGGACGGUUCUGACACUAAGGCACGAAAGCGUAGGGAGCAAACGGGGUUAGAUACCCGAGUAGUC
rnacentral:rRNA from 1 species